GGGGAAUAUUGGACAAUGGACCAAAAGUCUGAUCCAGCAAUUCUGUGUGCACGAUGACGUUUUUCGGAAUGUAAAGUGCUUUCAGUUGGGAAGAAAAAAAUGACGGUACCAACAGAAGAAGUGACGGCUAAAUACGUGCCAGCAGCCGCGGUAAUACGUAUGUCACAAGCGUUAUCCGGAUUUAUUGGGCGUAAAGCGCGUCUAGGUGGUUAUGUAAGUCUGAUGUGAAAAUGCAGGGCUCAACUCUGUAUUGCGUUGGAAACUGCAUGACUAGAGUACUGGAGAGGUAAGCGGAACUACAAGUGUAGAGGUGAAAUUCGUAGAUAUUUGUAGGAAUGCCGAUGGGGAAGCCAGCUUACUGGACAGAUACUGACGCUAAAGCGCGAAAGCGUGGGUAGCAAACAGGAUUAGAUACCCUGGUAGUCCACGCCGUAAACGAUGAUUACUAGGUGUUGGGGGUCGAACCUCAGCGCCCAAGCUAACGCGAUAAGUAAUCUGCCUGGGGAGUACGUACGCAAGUAUG
rnacentral:rRNA from 1 species